CCGAAUCUGGCGUGUCACAUCAAAUCAUUUUUCAAAGUUGAUUUUUCGGGUAAAAAUCUGUUACUGAAUCUAAACCCAUUUAUUAUUAUUUAAUUAAAAUUCACGUCAAAACAUGUACCAUUACGAUUGCCUUUGGUAUGUUACUUCAGUUAAAAUUGCGGAAGCAUUUUGAAUACUUUGUUGUUGGAACCUCGUGUUCCUUAGAAAAUCAUGCUAUUUUGAAAACUCGCGUUUUCCUAGACUAGCAGUUUAAUAUAAGAAACCUCAAUCCAAAUUAAAACUUAAAACCCACCAACGGCC
rnacentral:lncRNA from 1 species